GAUGAACGCUGGCGGCGUGCCUAAUACAUGCAAGUCGAGCGAACGGACGAGAAGCUUGCUUCUCUGAUGUUAGCGGCGGACGGGUGAGUAACACGUGGAUAACCUACCUAUAAGACUGGGAUAACUUCGGGAAACCGGAGCUAAUACCGGAUAAUAUUUUGAACCGCAUGGUUCAAAAGUGAAAGACGGUCUUGCUGUCACUUAUAGAUGGAUCCGCGCUGCAUUAGCUAGUUGGUAAGGUAACGGCUUACCAAGGCAACGAUGCAUAGCCGACCUGAGAGGGUGAUCGGCCACACUGGAACUGAGACACGGUCCAGACCCCUACGGGAGGCAGCAGUAGGGAAUCUUCCGCAAUGGGCGAAAGCCUGACGGGGCAACGCCGCGUGAGUGAUGAAGGUCUUCGGAUCGUAAAACUCUGUUAUUAGGGAAGAACAUAUGUGUAAGUAACUGUGCGCAUCUUGACGGUACCUAAUCAGAAAGCCACGGCUAACUACG
rnacentral:rRNA from 1 species